CCGCUGCAGCCGCUCCGGUUUACAUCCCAGGCAGAGGUCAGCGUGAUGCUGCUGCUCCAAUCCGGGCGGACAGCGCACUGCUAUUCGCCGAGGCAGCGGCGGCGAGGCGUCUGCCCCAGCCUCCGCCCCUCCCGGGCCCCGCCGCCGCCGCCGCCUGGGGUCUCUGGGAAAGGUAUGAGCCCGACCCUUCUCCCAACCGGCCUGGUUAACCCUUUCCACGACGACGACCUGCGGCGGGACCAAGGGAAAAGAAGGAGCCUUCUGCGUUUUAAUUGGGUCCCUGAUUAUUGCAAGAGUCAUACCAUUUAGAGAUUAGGAAUUCCAAAGAAUUACCCUGUUAAAUUUCUGGCUGCUUCACCACUUGCUCUGAACCUGAACGUCAUCUUGAAGCUGGCAGAGCUGCUUGAAGCAUUUCCCUUGUGCCCAACUAAGUCCACUGCUUAUUGCUGGCAAGGCUGUGGGACUGUGGCCACUACACUGAAUGGCGCCUGACUCCUCUUGCAGAAGUGAGAUUCUCUUGCAAAACUGAAAACUAUCGAGUGAAAUAAAACACAGCAAGAUAAAUUUCCAGGCUCUGAUACUUUCAUUAGUGAGUUAUACCAAACAUUCAAAGGAGAGUUAAUACCAAGAUUUCACAGGCUCUACCAUAGAGAAGAAAAACGAUGGAACACUAAGCAACUCAUUUUAUGAGACCAGCAGAAAUUUAACACCAAAACCUGACAACACGUUACAAGAAUGGAAAAUUAAAGGUUCCAGUGACCUCACUAGAGAAGCAGAAGCUCCUGAUGCCAGAAGACCUCAGGCAGCUGGACGUUGGUGGAAUCCUCCAGAGUGGGCCCCAACAAGGGUCCCCCUGCCCAGUGUCAUUGGAGCCAACAGAUCGAGAUUGAGUUUGGUUCAGAAGCAAAGGAAACUUUAUAUUUUGAUCAGAGAAUGGAGAGGAGUUGCCAGUCUGCUACCUGCUAAAGAAGAUGAUGUGUCACCCAUACCUGCUGUUGGAAUUUCUCUGUGGGCAGAGGUGAGGAAUGAAAAAAGCAGUGGGGGCCGGGACAGGAGGGGUAUCUCAGGCAGGCAAAUG